rnacentral:tRNA from 1 species
AAAGAAUUAGUUUACUAAAAACAAGGAAUUUCGGCUUCCUAAAUCUUGGCUCCCAAGAUUCUUUU